CCUUCGGGGUACUCGAGUGGCGAACGGGUGAGUAACACGUGGGUGAUCUGCCCUGCACUUUGGGAUAAGCCUGGGAAACUGGGUCUAAUACCGAAUAGGACCACGCGCUUCAUGGUNNNNGGUGGAAAGCUUUUGCGGUGUGGGAUGGGCCCGCGGCCUAUCAGCUUGUUGGUGGGGUAAUGGCCUACCAAGGCGACGACGGGUAGCCGGCCUGAGAGGGUGACCGGCCACACUGGGACUGAGAUACGGCCCAGACUCCUACGGGAGGCAGCAGUGGGGAAUAUUGCACAAUGGGCGCAAGCCUGAUGCAGCGACGCCGCGUGAGGGAUGACGGCCUUCGGGUUGUAAACCUCUUUCAAUAGGGACGAAGCGCAAGUGACGGUACCUAUAGAAGAAGCACCGGCCAACUACGUGCCAGCAGCCGCGGUAAUACGUAGGGUGCGAGCGUUGUCCGGAAUUACUGGGCGUAAAGAGCUCGUAGGUGGUUUGUCGCGUUGUUCGUGAAAACUCACAGCUUAACUGUGGGCGUGCGGGCGAUACGGGCAGACUAGAGUACUGCAGGGGAGACUGGAAUUCCUGGUGUAGCGGUGGAAUGCGCAGAUAUCAGGAGGAACACCGGUGGCGAAGGCGGGUCUCUGGGCAGUAACUGACGCUGAGGAGCGAAAGCGUGGGGAGCGAACAGGAUUAGAUACCCUGGUAGUCCACGCCGUANACGGUGGGUACUAGGUGUGGGUUCCUUCCUUGGGAUCCGUGCCGUAGCUAACGCAUUAAGUACCCCGCCUGGGGAGUACGGCCGCAAGGCUAAAACUC
rnacentral:rRNA from 1 species